rnacentral:lncRNA from 1 species
ACUAGGGUAAAUAAAUCAAAAACCCCUUUUUUUCCUAUCUCCCCCUGCAAUCGAAACCCCCCUGGAUUUUUUUAAAUUUUGCAACGCAGCAUCCGAAACUGGUCUAUAGGGCUCGUCCCUGAUCAACCAUGAUCGGGUCACCCGCCCCACCCUGAAAAAGACUAAACGGGCAUGAUCAAGUCGGGUUCAGCCCGGAAGACCGGGUGCUAUUUUGUUUAGUGGCCUAUAAUGAUACAACUUAAACACCACUUUUAGAGUCGAGUUCUGAAGAUUGAACUUUAAACUUGAUUUAACUCCAUUAAAGGUAAAAAUUUUGGUAAAAUUCGAUAGUAAAUUAUGAAAACAUAGUUAUAUAAAAACACUAAGAAUUAUAAAUUUAUAGUUAAUUGAAAUGAAAUAUUCAAAGAAAAUUAUAAUAAUAAGAAAUACAAUGCAUAAUAGAAAUCUUUCGUUGCAAUAAAGAAUUGUAUGUCUUUGGGCAACGAAAUAUUUUGUUGCAAUGGGGGAAAAUACUGUUAUUACAACGAAGUAUUUCGUUCUCUACUGGCAAGCACGCAGCUAUUACGGCCUCAGCACUCAGCUCUAUUCUCCAAAAGAGAAAUAAAAAACAUAAAUAAAACAGAAUAUAAUAUAAUAGUUCCCGUAAUAUAUCUACUCGGCACAAAGACUGAAAAAAAUUUAAAAAAAUGGGAAUAGAUCUUUUCUUUUGUUAAAGUUGUUAGUCUUGAAUAUCUUCAAUGUAAUUUUAUGGGCAAUUUCUGGCAUAAUGGACUGUUGUGCGGCAAUUAUAACAAAACCUGUUUGAAGGACCAUGCUUAAAUCUUCGACGGUUUUCGUUAAGUGAUUGUUUGUAAGUUUACCAGUGCUUUAACGCAGAUGUAUCGUCCUUGUUUUAAAUUGGAGAGUUCCAGUCGAAAUAUUAGGUAUUUACUAUCCGAUUGAACGAAUAGUUGUGUUGAAGGCAUCUUUAAUGGUCAAUAGCUUUAUCAUUUCCGUUAGUUUGGGGGCACCCUAAUUUUUCCAGAACUUGUUGCACCAAUUUUUCAAAUCGUUCCAGGCCGGAGGAUUCUUGUGGAUUGUCUUCUUUCGUGUUGUUGGUCUUAGGAUUUAAUGAUUAUUAUUAAUGAAGACUACACAAUACUAAUUAUUCGGAAGGUGUAUUUCACGAGACACUUGUUACAUGUGAACUAUUAUAAAAUGGUAACUAACUCCCGACGAGACGCUUCGUCGUCUCGUCUUUUAUAAUCCGUGAUCACGUUGCAACGUGGCAGUCCCACGGUGGUCACGCCGAGCGUUGCCUGUUCCGUUCACGAUCGUUGAUCGACAUCGCCGCCCGUGACGUGGUUCAUCAGCUGGUAGUAUACUUGUUAACUGGUGUCUUGUGACAUUGGUACUCCUUUCGGGAGAACUGUGUGCUACGUUUCGUGUAUCAGAAAUGGAUUUUAGUAUGGGUGUCCACCUGGGAAGCUGAAGACUGUGGAAUCAACCUCCACUUGUGGAAAAAACUUAUCCAAAGUAAAAAAAAGUCUUUUCAUUUUACCAAUUUAUCAUUUGUUUUACAAAACUAGCAAUGAGAAACAAAUGUACCGUACUCUACUUUGAGUUUUAUCCUUCUAAUUUAAGAAUACAAAAAAUUCACUUUA